AGGAUGUAGAAAACUGUAGUACAGCCAUUAUAUAUGGAGCUAAUUUCGUGGACUCGUCGACUCUGACGUGUCAUUACAAAUACGUCAAGAUAGAAAAUGAUGUCGUAACAACUACAGCAAUGAGAACCGUUUCUGGUGAUUUUAUAAAUAUGAAUCAGAUCUCGUGCAAUCUCCCAGAAUCUCGUGGAGGUGCUCUCAUUCAGGUCAGCAACGAUGGUCAAACCAUGAGUGAGAACCAAUACCUUCAUCUUGUGUAUGAUUCCAGGUGCUUUGAUUGUUCCAUCGCAGACGAUAUCAUGAAGUCCAGUUGUAAAGUGA